rnacentral:rRNA from 1 species
GUGAGGAAUAAUGGACAAUGGGCGCAAGCCUGAUCCAGCCAUGCCGCGUGCAGGAAGACGCAUCUAUGGUGUGUAAACUGCUUUUGUACGGGAAGAAACACUCCCUCGUGAGGGAGCUUGACGGUACCGUAAGAAUAAGGAUCGGCUAACUCCGUGCCAGCAGCCGCGGUAAUACGGAGGAUCCAAGCGUUAUCCGGAAUCAUUGGGUUUAAAGGGUCCGUAGGCGGUUUAAUAAGUCAGUGGUGAAAGCCCAUCGCUCAACGAUGGAACGGCCAUUGAUACUGUUAGACUUGAAUUACAAGGAAGUAACUAGAAUAUGUAGUGUAGCGGUGAAAUGCUUAGAUAUUACAUGGAAUACCAAUUGCGAAGGCAGGUUACUACUUGUGGAUUGACGCUGAUGGACGAAAGCGUGGGGAGCGAACAGGAUUAGAUACCCUUGUAGUCC